rnacentral:rRNA from 1 species
ACGCUGGCGGCGUGCCUAAUACAUGCAAGUAGAACGCUGAAGCUUGGUGCUUGCACCGAGCGGAUGAGUUGCGAACGGGUGAGUAACGCGUAGGUAACCUGCCUCUUAGCGGGGGAUAACUAUUGGAAACGAUAGCUAAUACCGCAUAAAAGUCGAUAUCGCAUGAUAUUGACUUGAAAGGUGCAAUUGCAUCACUAAGAGAUGGACCUGCGUUAUAUUAGCUAGUUGGUGAGGUAACGGCUCACCAAGGCAACGAUACAUAGCCGACCUGAGAGGGUGAUCGGCCACACUGGGACUGAGACACGGCCCAGACUCCUACGGGAGGCAGCAGUAGGGAAUCUUCGGCAAUGGGGGCAACCCUGACCGAGCAACGCCGCGUGAGUGAAGAAGGUUUUCGGAUCGUAAAGCUCUGUUGUAAGAGAAGAACGAGUGUGAGAGUGGAAAGUUCACACUGUGACGGUAACUUACCAGAAAGGGACGGCUAACUACGUGCCAGCAGCCGCGGUAAUACGUAGGUCCCGAGCGUUAUCCGGAUUUAUUGGGCGUAAAGCGAGCGCAGGCGGUUAGAUAAGUCUGAAGUUAAAGGCUGUGGCUUAACCAUAGUACGCUUUGGAAACUGUUUAACUUGAGUGCAGAAGGGGAGAGUGGAAUUCCAUGUGUAGCGGUGAAAUGCGUAGAUAUAUGGAGGAACACCGGUGGCGAAAGCGGCUCUCUGGUCUGUAACUGACGCUGAGGCUCCAAAGCGUGGGGAGCAAACAGGAUUAG